UAAAAUGAAUUGAUAUAUUAAUAUGAUAGACAAGUGGAUAGGGGGGUGAUCGCUGUCGCUGGCCUUUCAUUAGGCAUGUGCACGCUUUUCUCCUCUGGAAACUUGGUCGUGGAGCGCGGGGCGACUCGCGUUCCGUCGUAUGCCCACAUGUGUAGAAAGUCUUUGAAUGUUUUUACCAUCAUCGAGUCGUGACUUCUAGGAGACAUGAUUCUUUGAGACAAAAGUUAAUUACAACUUUCAGCAAUGGAUCUCUUGGUUCUCGCAUCGAUGAAGAACGCAGCGAAUAGCGAUAUGUAAUGUGAAUUGCAGAUCUACAGUGAAUCAUCGAAUUUUUGAACGCACCUUGCGCUUCUCGGUGUUCCGAGAAGCAUGCCUGUUUGAGCGUCGUUUAAUUCUCAACCCCCCUUUGAUUAGCCUCGAAUGGGGUGUUUGGAUGGUGGGGGCUGCCGGAAGACUUCAUUGGAAUUCGGCUCUCCUUAAAUGCAUCGGCUUGCACAGACCUUUGACUUUGCCCGACAAGGCUUUCGGCGUGAUAAUGAUCGUCGUUUUGCUGAAACGCAUGAAUGAAGGUCGAGCGCCUCUAAUACGUCGACCCCCCCUCCAAGGGUCUUCCUAAUUUUAAGCGCGACCUCCAAUCAAGUAGGACUACCCGCUGAACUUUAGCAUAUCAAUAAACCGGA
rnacentral:rRNA from 1 species